rnacentral:lncRNA from 1 species
AAGAAAAAGCUGCUAUGAAGUUGCUAUGAAGAUGAUUCUGAGCUCUAGGCGUACGCAACCCCCAGUCAUUUGCCUGUGAAGUUUGGAGCCUCCGUUUCCAAGGUUUAACCUGUGUGUCUCUGAUAGUCUUAUAAGUCUUUGUUUAUCUUUCUACGUGAUACUGUUCCUGUUAUUCACUUAUGAUGUCACUAUAUGUAUGAUCCUUUAUGUUGCGUGUUGUGUGGUCUC